rnacentral:rRNA from 1 species
UACGGGGGGUGCAAGCGUUGUCCGGAAUCACUGGGCGUAAAGCGCGCGCAGGCGGCGAUCUACGUCCGGGGUGAAAGCCCAGAGCUCAACUCUGGGACUGCCUUGGAUACGGGAUCGCUUGAGGAUCGGAGAGGCAAGGGGAAUUCCACGUGUAGCGGUGAAAUGCGUAGAGAUGUGGAGGAACACCUGUGGCGAAGGCGCCUUGCUGGCCGAUUUCUGACGCUGAGGCGCGAAAGCGUGGGGAGCAAACAGG